AACGAACGCUGGCGGCGUGCCUAACACAUGCAAGUCGAACGAGAAAGGGGCUUCGGCUCCGAGUAAAGUGGCGCACGGGUGAGUAACACGCGGGUAACCUGCCUCUAAGAUUGGGAUAACUCGUCGAAAGAUGAGCUAAUACCGAAUAAGACCACAGUUCCCGCGGGAACAGGGGUCAAAGGUAGCCUCUGCUUGCAAGCUAUCACUUAGAGAUGGGCCUGCGCACCAUUAGCUAGUUGGUAGGGUAACGGCCUACCAAGGCAAAGAUGGUUAGCUGGUCUGAGAGGAUGAUCAGCCACACUGGAACUGAGACACGGUCCAGACUCCUACGGGAGGCAGCAGUGGGGAAUAUUGCGCAAUGGGCGAAAGCUUGACGCAGCAACGCCGCGUGAGUGAUGAAGGCCUUCGGGUCGUAAAGCUCUGUCGGGAGGAACGAAUGCUCCUGAGGUUAACAGCCUCGGGAGGUGACGGUACCUUCAAAGGAAGCACCGGCUAACUCUGUG
rnacentral:rRNA from 1 species